rnacentral:tRNA from 1 species
GGGGAUUUAGCUCAGUGGUAGAGUGCUUGCCUAGCAAGCACAAGGCCCUGGGUUCCAUCCCCAGCUCCG